ACCAAUAGUACAAAUCUAAGAAAAACAUGUUAUGCCUUAAAAAAUAUAUAUAUAAGCCUAUAACUCAAAAAUAAGCCCAUGCCCCAGAGUAGACUCCUAAUUAUGAACAAUGACAGCACUUUAUAGACUCAUUAGUGUUGUCGAUCUUCUUAGGAGGCCACUCAACCGGCGAGCAGUUUAAACUUGCAUUGAACGCUCAAAAGAAUCUGGAAAAAAAAAAACAAAUGCAAACACUAGCGUUAGAGGAAAAUGGAAAUAAUUUAGGUCCAACAAAUAUCAAAGUUAAGGAGAAAAAUCGAUAGAUCUUGUAAAUCUCAAUGAAAGAUGGAGGUGGCAGGUCUUUCGAUGUUUCACUCGCGACUUCCAAGCCUUUUAAACUCCUUAUGAGAUUACCACAGCUAUUUAAGACUCUUUUACACUUUCCAUCGAACUUGAAUCAACAAAAAAAAUUGCCAUUGACUUUCACUGGAAGCCUUGAGAACCGGAGCGAAUUAAAUCGGUCAUUGUUAACCUCUUCGAAAUAGUCAAAACUCUUCUUUACCGGAUCUACAUGUUAUUACAGUAGAAAAAACUUCUCGGACCGACACUCAAUAAGUCCUUGUAUAUAAAAAAAACACUACACAAACUCAACAAAACAAGUAGAUCUAAAAAACUAAAUAACACGGAGCAAUUAAUUUUUAAUUUUAUGGUAGAUUUAGAUCGUAUCUAACUUUUAUUACAGACGUCCGAUGGAGACCAAUGAUAACUUUUCAAAAAAGAAAUUUCGAGAUGUAUGACUUUCAAAAGUGUGACAAGAACCAUAGGUUUGCUCACAAAAUUCGAUAUGAAAAUUUCAAUAUUUAGGGAUUAAUUUUACAUUUUAAUUAAUUUUUUAGAUAUUUUUAUAAUUUUGUAUAUUAAAAUUUUGUUUUUAUUAUAAAUAGCCUUCCUUUAUUAUUAAAAAUUUAAUUUUCAAGAAUUUUAUAAGAUUUUUUAUCUUUUAACCUAUUUUUUCUUUUAUUUCGUAUUAACUAAACGAUAUUAAUUAAAAUUUUUAACGAAAUCUAAAUAAUCGUUUUAUCACUAAAUCUCCUUUACAAAAUCUCUAUCCAUGUGCAACAAAACCAACAAAGAUAUUUGCAAAUCUCAAAAGAAAAAAGGAACCCACUUUUUUUAAAAGAGGAGGAGGCGUGGUCGUACCCGAAGGGGUAAUUAAGGGAGGAUGGACAAGCGGCAAUGUUGGAGGAGUACCUCCGGAAAAGACUCCCAAGAAAGAGAAAGAUGAGAGAAAAAUUCUCUCUAGAGAAACGACCACUACAAAUUUGAGUCCUUUUGCAGCUCACUCAUCAUCUCUUUUUUAUUUUAAUGCUUAGAUUAAGCUCGUUGUCAGAUAUUCAGAAACACAGGAAAUUUUGAAGAAUCUAUGUCCAUCGUGCAUGGGGACAUUUCAAUUCCUUAGAAACGAUAAAUUACAUAAUUCAAUCAGACAAGUAUGAUCAAUCGAUGUCAAAAUUCAUUACAAGGAUGAUGCAGGGUUAAAGUAUAUACCAUUUGCAAGUUGUUGUGUUUUGUUUUUCUGUCUAUUUGUUCUUGCAUGCAAAUGCAGGUUUCAACGACUUUAUCGGCUUCUCCUAAAGCUCUUCGCCUUACCGGUUGGAUCUAGGAGAGAGGAGCACUGCCUUUGAGUGGUCGUUCUUCUCUUAAAAGUUCUACGGGUGCUUCAAUUAGUCCUAAACUUAUCUUUGUUGUAAGAAGGGAUGUAUGUCUAAGCCUUGGUAUUGAGCAUCUCUAGGGUUCCUUACAGUGUCUGCUCCUAUAUUUUUUCUGCGGGAUCUUGCAAGUUCUUAUGUCUUAUCUCUCAUGUUUUAUUAUUAUUAUUUAAAAAAUCCAUUAAUGCAUUUUGCAACUCCUAAUUUAAGGGUUAAGGAAAGUGAAUAUUAAUUAAAAAUUAGUGG
rnacentral:lncRNA from 1 species